rnacentral:rRNA from 1 species
UGCGUAGGUGGCGAGCGUUGUCCGGAUUUACUGGGCGUAAAGGGAGCGUAGGCGGACUUUUAAGUGAGAUGUGAAAUACUCGGGCUUAACUUGAGUGCUGCAUUUCAAACUGGAAGUCUAGAGUGCAGGAGAGGAGAAUGGAAUUCCUAGUGUAGCGGUGAAAUGCGUAGAGAUUAGGAAGAACACCAGUGGCGAAGGCGAUUCUCUGGACUGUAACUGACGCUGAGGCUCGAAAGCGUGGGGAGCAAACAGG